rnacentral:rRNA from 1 species
AUGGAGCACAGCUGGGAAGCCAAGCAGGCGCCGCCGGCGUCGGAGGUGAGUGCCAGGCCGCCGCCGCCGCUCACCCAUGAGGACAACCGCGGCUUCCUCCAGAUGCUCCGCGAGAAGAAGGAAAGGCUGGGGGUCGACGCCGCCAAGGUGGAGGUGCGGUUCGAGGAGCUCACCGUGGAGGCCGACGUGCGCGUGGGCCGCCGCGCGCUGCCCACGCUGCUCAACUGCGCCGUCAACGCCGCCCAGGAAUUGGCAACAUCUUCACACAUGUGUACCACAAGGAAAAAACCUAUCAAAAUUAUAAAUGGAGCAAGCGGGACAAUUCGUCCAUCACGGAUGACACUUCUUCUAGGAGCACCUGGUUCUGGGAAAACUACUUUUUUAAAAGCAUUGGCAGGAAAGUUGGAUUCUUCUUUGAAGCUCAAAGGAAAGGUCAUGUACAAUGGAGAAGAAGUGAAUUCCUCAACACCUCAAUACCUGCAUGCCUACAUUAGCCAGUAUGAUCUUCAUCAUGCUGAGAUGACCGUCAGAGAGACGAUUGAUUUCUCUUCCAAGAUGUUGGGAACCAAUAAUGAAUUUGAGAUGCUGGGAGAAGCAAUAAGAAGGAAAAAGGGUGUCAUCAACAAAGUGGACCAAGAUCUUGACUCUUUUAUUAAGGCUACCACCUUCGGAGAAGGAAGCAACCUUACAACAAACUAUAUUAUCAAGAUACUUGGUUUGUCCGAGUGUGCAGAUACCCUAGUGGGGGAUGAGAUGAGAAGAGGCAUAUCAGGAGGACAAAAAAAGAGAGCCACGAUUGGAGAGAUGCUAGUUGGUCUAGCAAGAUGCUUCUUUAUGGAUGACAUAUCAACAGGUCUAGAUAGCUCCACCACAUACGAGAUUGUAAAGUUUCUCCAACAAAUGGCUCAUCUGAUGGAUCUCACUGUGGUUAUUUCCUUGCUUCAACCACCUCCUGAGACGUUGGAGUUAUUUGACGACAUAAUCCUUUUAUGCGAGGGGCAAAUUGUAUAUCAUGGUCCUCGAGAAAAUGCUACUGGUUUCUUUGAAAUUAUGGGAUUCAAAUGCCCCAGCAGGAAGAAUGUAGCUGAUUUCCUUCAAGAGGUGACCUCGAAGAUGGAUCAAAAGCAAUACUGGAUUGGUGAUGAAAAUAAGUAUCAAUACCGGUCAAUCGAAAAAUUUGCAGAAUCUUUUCGUUCAUCCUAUCUCCCACGACCUGCGAAAGACGAUCUCUGCAGGACAAACAAUACAGGAAAGAGAAAGGAGAUUAUAACAAGUGCAACUCGCAGGAUCUCUAGAUGGAAUAUUUUCAAGGCAUGCUUUUCAAGGGAAGUAUUGCUUCUUAAAAGAAACUCCCCACUUCAUAUAUUUAAGACUGUACAGAUAACUGUUAUGGCUUUGGUGAUCUCAACGGUUUUCCUUCGAACAAAUAUGAACCAUAAAACUGUACUCGAUGCCAAUAAGUACAUGGGAUCACUCUUUAUGGCUGUUGUGAUAGUAAACUUCAAUGGCAUGACUGAAAUUGGAAUGACAAUAAAGCGACUCCCCACUUUCUACAAGCAAAGAGAGUUACUAGCAUUGCCAGGAUGGGCACUUCUUUCUUCGGUAUUCCUUAUCAGCCUCCCAAUGUCACUUCUAGAGACAGGUCUGUGGACCAGCUUAACCUACUAUGUGAUUGGCUACGCACCUUCCUUUCUCAGAUUCAUCCAGCAGUUUUUGGUACUUUUUGCCAUGCAUCAAAUGUCAAUGGGCCUCUAUCGUUUCUUAGCGGCAAUAGGAAGGACGCAAGUAAUGGCCAACAUGCUAGGCACCGCAGCUCUCAUAGCAAUCUACAUAUUUGGAGGCUUUGUCAUAUCAAAAGAUAACCUCCAACCAUGGUUGCAGUGGGGAUACUGGACAUCCCCAUUCACCUAUGCACAGAAUGCUGUUGCCCUAAAUGAGUUCCUUGAUGAAAGAUGGGCUAGUGAAUUUUACUAUGCAAAUGCUAAAACAGUUGGUGAAGCUAUCCUCAAGAUCAGGGGGUUGCUCACAGAGUGGCAUUGGUACUGGAUUUGUGUCGGCAUUUUAUUUGGAUUCUCGCUGGUCCUCAACAUCCUCACUAUAUUUGCACUAGAGUUCAUGAACUCUCCACACAAGCAUCAAGUUAAUAUCGAUUCCACGAAGACAAAAACGGAGUGCAAGAAACAGAAAGUUGGAACUCGCAAUGCAUCAACUGGUCAAGUUGCCCUCCCGUUUCAGCCUCUUUCCCUUGUAUUUGAUCAUAUCAACUAUUUUGUUGACAUGCCUAAGGAAAUGAUGAAGUAUGGAGUAACAGAGAAAAAGCUUCAACUGCUGCAAGAUGUCAGUGGUGUUUUCAGGCCAGGGGUGUUAACAGCUCUGAUGGGGAUCACUGGUGCUGGAAAGACAACAUUGCUCGACGUUUUGGCUGGAAGAAAAACUGGAGGAUAUAUUGAAGGUACUAUUAGGAUAGCAGGAUACCCAAAGAAGCAGGACACAUUCUCAAGGAUCUCGGGCUACUGUGAACAGAGUGACAUUCACUCCCCUAACCUCACUGUGCAUGAGUCACUACAGUUCUCGGCAUGGCUUCGACUUCCUUCGAACGUUAACUCUCGCCAAAGAGAUAUGUUUAUAGAUGAAGUAAUGGACCUAGUUGAAUUGACUGGACUGAAGAAUGCCAUGGUGGGAAUAGCAGGAGCAACUGGCCUGUCAGCUGAGCAGCGAAAAAGGCUAACAAUAGCAGUGGAGCUGGUAGCUAGUCCUUCCAUUAUAUUCAUGGACGAGCCAACCACUGGCUUGGAUGCCCGUGCUGCAGCAAUUGUGAUGAGAACAGUAAGAAAGACAGUAGACACUGGACGAACUGUAGUCUGCACAAUUCAUCAACCAAGCAUUGGGAUAUUUGAAUCUUUUGAUGAGCUUUUGCUUAUGAAAAGAGGUGGUCAGAUCAUAUACAGUGGUUCAUUAGGUCCGCUAUCUAGCAACAUGAUCAAGUAUUUCGAGGCUAUACCUGGUGUUCCUAGAAUAAAAGAGGGACAAAACCCAGCAGCAUGGGUGUUGGAUAUAAGUUCACACAUAACAGAAUAUGUGAUUGGAGUGGACUAUGCAGAAAUUUACCGGAGCUCCUCCCUGUACAGGGAGAACAUGCUUCUAAUUGAAGAGCUGGGGCAACCAGCGCCAAACACCGUGGAUCUACAUUUUCCCCCAGGAUAUUGGCAGAACUUUAGGGCGCAGUGCAUGGCUUGCUUGUGGAAACAAAGAUGUGCAUACUGGAAAAACUCAGAACACAAUGUUGUUCGGUUCCUAAACACGUUUGCUGUAUCAAUUAUGUUUGGAAUUGUAUUCUGGAAAAUUGGCUCAACCAUAAAACGGGAGCAAGAUGUAUUCAACAUACUAGGGGUUGUAUAUGGAUCAGCACUGUUUCUGGGCUUCAUGAAUUGCAGCAUCUUACAGCCAGUUGUGGCAAUGGAGAGAGUUGUUCUUUACCGAGAAAAGGCAGCAGGCAUGUACUGUACCUUGGCCUACGCCAUAGCUCAGAUGGCAAUUGAAUUGCCUUACAUGCUUGUCCAAGUGCUCAUCUUCGCAUCAAUCGUAUACCCAAUGAUUGGGUUCGAGAUGACAGCCGUCAAGUUCUUUUGGUUUGUUCUUUACAUGGUGCUAAGCUUCAUGUACUACACACUCUACGGGAUGAUGACAGUCGCACUAACACCUAACCUUGAGAUAGCUGCCGGAUUGUCCUUCCUUAUCUUCAUCUUUUGGAACGUCUUCUCCGGCUUCAUCAUUGGAAGAGAGCUGAUCCCGAUAUGGUGGAGGUGGGUGUACUGGGCUAACCCAGCGGCAUGGACAGUGUACGGGCUCAUGUUCUCACAGCUGGGCGACCGGACAGAGCUGAUCCGUGUGCCGGGGCAACCGGACCAGACGGUGCGUGAGUUCCUCGAGGGCUACCUUGGCCUCGAGAACCGCUACUUCAACCUUGUCACAUGCCUGCACCUGGCCAUCAUCGCCCUGUUCGCCUUCCUCUUCUUCAUCUUCAUCAAGCACCUCAAGUUCCAGCGGAGGUAG